rnacentral:lncRNA from 1 species
CUCCAUUUCUGCUGAGUGGAUUUUAUGGGCUCCUUUUAACUCCCAGCACAGAUUUGACACUCUGGCCUUUUGCAAUAAUCCUCUCACUCAUGUUGUUUCUUCUGGAAACUUCUCCUGCCCAGUUUGUGCCAAAAAGCUCCGCAUUCCAUUUCUCCCAGACUUGAGUGGUAUUCUUUCUCUGAGCUCUCACUGCUUUCCUGGCCAUAAGCCCUCACCAGGACGAAGUGGCCCAGUGGGAUGCCCACUCCUGUUCCAGCACUGUACAUUAGGUUUUCUAUACCUUCCCCCAGAAUGCAGCUGGGAAGCCCCUGAGAUGUCCAACAGUUCUCCUCCAAUGAGGAAACUAAGGCAGAGAAGAGGCUGAACUAUUUGGUCUAUCUCACCCAAUGAUAUAAGAUAUACCUUGGAACAAACCUUUGCCCGUGUGUUGUUCACCAGCCCAUCUCCAAAGGUCAAGGAGUCAACUGUUUGCUAUAUGAGAAUGCACUGUAUAAAUAAAAGUGUGUGUGGCAGAAAUCAAAGACA